rnacentral:rRNA from 1 species
CUUUGGGGUGUGACUGCGUACCUUUUGUAUAAUGGGUCAGCGACUUAUAUUCUGUAGCAAGGUUAACCGAAUAGGGGAGCCGGAGGGAAACCGAGUCUUAAUUGGGCGUUAAGUUGCAGGGUAUAGACCCGAAACCCGGUGAUCUAGCCAUGGGCAGGUUGAAGGUUGGGUAACACUAACUGGAGGACCGAACCGACUAAUGUUGAAAAAUUAGCGGAUGACCUGUGGCUGGGGGUGAAAGGCCAAUCAAACCGGGAGAUAGCUGGUUCUCCCCGAAAGCUAUUUAGGUAGCGCCUCGUGAACUCAUCUCCGGGGGUAGAGCACUGUUUCGGCUAGGGGGCCAUCCCGGCUUACCAACCCGAUGCAAACUGCGAAUACCGGAGAAUGUUAUCACGGGAGACACACGGCGGGUGCUAACGUCCGUCGUGAAGAGGGAAACAACCCAGACCGCCAGCUAAGGUCCCAAAGUCAUGGUUAAGUGGGAAACGAUGUGGGAAGGCCCAGACAGCCAGGAUGUUGGCUUAGAAGCAGCCAUCAUUUAAAGAAAGCGUAAUAGCUCACUGGUCGAGUCGGCCUGCGCGGAAGAUGUAACGGGGCUAAACCAUG